CAAAUACUCCCUCCGUCCGGAAAUACUUGUCCUAGAAAUGGAUGUAUCUAGACUUAUUUUAGUUAUAGAUACAUCAAUUUUAUCCAUUUCGAGGACAAGUAUUUUUGGACGGAGUGAGUAGGUC
rnacentral:pre_miRNA from 1 species